UACGUAGGAUGCAAGCGUUGUCCGGAAUCACUGGGCGUAAAGGGAGCGUAGGCGGGUUUCUAAGUCAGGUGUUUAAUCCCGGGGCCCAACCCCGGACAGGCACUUGAAACUGGGAAUCUUGAAUAGGGGAGAGGUCAGUGGAAUUGGAGGUGUAGCGGUGGAAUGCGUAGAGAUCUCCAAGAACACCAGUUGCGAAGGCGGCUGACUGGACCCAUAUUGACGCUGAGGCGCGAAAGCAUGGGGAGCAAACAGG
rnacentral:rRNA from 1 species